UAACAUAUUUGGUGAGCGGCCAGUGG
rnacentral:piRNA from 1 species